rnacentral:lncRNA from 1 species
CAUGAAGCCGUGCCAUGGGACGUUGGGGACAUCACCAUGGGGAUGUUGGGGACACCAUGGAGCUGUGCCAUGGGAUGUUGGGGACAUCACCAUGGGGACAUUGGGGACAUCGCCAGGGGGACACUGGGAUGUGGGGGACACCAUGUGGCUGUGUAUGGAGAUGUUGGGGACAUCACGAUGGGGACAUUGGGGACAUCAUAGGGACACUGGGGACACCACCAUGAGGACGUUGGGGACAACAUGAAGCUGUGCAUUGGGACAUUGGGGACAUCACCAUGGAGACGUUGGGGACACCAUGGAGCUGUGCCAUGGGUUGUUGGGGACAUUAUGGAGCUGUGCCAUGGGACAUUGGGGACAUCACCAUGGGGACAUUGGGAAAAACAUCAUGGGGACACUGGGACAUUGGGGACACCAUGGAGCUGUGCCAUGGGAUACUGGGGACAUCGGGGACGCCAUGGGAUGUCACCUCACCCCCCCCCNNNNNNNNNNNNNNNNNNNNNNNACUGUUGGGCUCAGAUGCUUUUAGUGCUCCUGCACACGUGGGGACAACGGGGACACCGGGGGUCCUUCCCACCCCCAUCCCAUAAGGAUGGAGGACAGCCUGGGGGUCCCCUGUUGUCCUGAUCCCUGUCCCAUGGGUUUGGGGACAACGGGGACCCCCAGGGGUCUCUCCCACCCCAUAGACUUAGGGAUGAAGGAAACCCCACCCCACAGAGUCAGGCAUCCCUUCCAUCCCUGCCCUAUGGCUUUGGGGACCCCCAGUUGUCCCUCCCACCCCAAUCCCAUCAGGUUUGGGGACAACAGGGUCUUUUCCACCCCCAUCCCAUAAGGACAAAGGGGAUCCUGAGGGUCCCCAUCCCUGUCCUAUGGGUUUGGGACCCCAGGGGUCUCUCCCACCCCCACCCCAUAGACUUAGGGUUGAAGAGAACCCCCAGUUGUCCCUCCCACGCCAAUCCUAUGGGGUUUGGGGACAACAAGGACCCCUAGGAUCUCUCCCACCGCCAUCCCAUAGACUC